AUUGAACGCUGGCGGCAUGCCUUACACAUGCAAGUCGAACGGUAACAGGUCUUCGGAUGCUGACGAGUGGCGAACGGGUGAGUAAUACAUCGGAACGUGCCCGAUCGUGGGGGAUAACGGAGCGAAAGCUUUGCUAAUACCGCAUACGAUCUACGGAUGAAAGCAGGGGACCGCAAGGCCUUGCGCGGACGGAGCGGCCGAUGGCAGAUUAGGUAGUUGGUAGGAUAAAAGCUUACCAAGCCGACGAUCUGUAGCUGGUCUGAGAGGACGACCAGCCACACUGGGACUGAGACACGGCCCAGACUCCUACGGGAGGCAGCAGUGGGGAAUUUUGGACAAUGGGCGAAAGCCUGAUCCAGCCAUGCCGCGUGCAGGAUGGAGGCCUUCGGGUUGUAAACUGCUUUUGUACGGAACGAAAAGACUCUUUCUAAUAAAGAGGGUCCAUGACGGUACCGUAAGAAUAAGCACCGGCUAACUACGUG
rnacentral:rRNA from 1 species